AACAGCAAACCCGAGUCUCCCCGUCGGUACUCGGCCCGCCGGUCUGUCUGUCUCUCCCUCUCUCGGGAGUCGGGAGCUCUACAAAAUCUGCAGUUGCCGGGCGGUCUAAUAACAAAAGAACUACUCAUUGUCUCUCUCGUCUACCCCUCUUUGGACGAGCCUAGGGCUCUCCAUAAAAACCAUCGAUGGGAGCUUGUCUCCGAAUUUCCCUAACGAUCUCGUGUCUGUUAUUGAUUUGGAUCUCCGCGUCGGCCUCGAUUCCGUCGAGGGAAUCGUUGGGGAUAGCUCCUCAAGAUUUGAGUUAUUAUAAAUCGGAUGUGAUCAAAUGCAAGGAUGGAUCGAAAAAAUUCACCAAAGAACAGCUUAACGACGAGUUCUGCGACUGCCCGGAUGGAACCGACGAACCUGGGACAUCAGCGUGUCCGCAAGGGAAAUUCUAUUGCCCGAAUGUGGGUCAUAUUCCUCUAACCACCUUCUCUUCUCGAGUGAAUGAUGGUAUAUGUGAUUGUUGUGAUGGGAGUGAUGAAUAUAAUGGCAAUGUUAGCUGUCCAAACACAUGUUGGGAGGCUGGUAAAGUGGCCAGGGAGAAAUUGCAGAAGAAGAUAGCAACAUUUCAGAAUGGAGUUACUAUUCGGAAGCAGGAAGUAGAGAAAGCAAAACAAGCGUUUGCUAAAGAUGAAGCAGAAUUGUCGAAACUUAGAAGUGAAGAAAAGAUACUCAAAGAGCUUGUUCAGAAGCUUAAAGAGCAAAAAGAACGAAUUGAAAAGGCAGAGGAGGAAGAACGUAAAAAAAGAGAAGAGGAAGAAAGGAGGCUCAAAGAAGCUGAAAGGAAAGCUAAUGAGUCAAAGAACGCACCCGAGGAAUCUUCACAUGAUAUCACCGAUCAAGCUCCUGAGAAAUUGUCAGAAUUACACAAUCAGGAUGCAAUGGAAGAUCACCAUGAUUCUGCAGUAGAAGACAAAAAUGAUUAUACUACUGGAACUGAGAUAUCUGAUAAUCAGGUAGUGGGAAAGGUAGCCAAUGAUCAUGAUGACACUAUAGCCAAAUCUGGACAUGAGGCUGAUGGUAGAAGUGAUGGGUCAUCUUUCAGUCAUGUGGAAAAGCAGCAUGUUGUUGAAGCCCAAGAUAAUGCUGUGUCCAAAGCCAAUACUGAUUAUCCUGGAACUGAAGAAGAACUUUCCAGUCAUGUAGCAGAACAGGGACAAGUUUCUGACAGUACUGAAGGAUUGUCAAGAGAAGAGUUGGGUCGUCUCGUAGCUUCUCGCUGGACACGGGAAAAUGCUGCUGAAGGAAAUGAUGAAGUUAACAUGGCAAAAGAAGGACUUGAACAUGAUGAAGAUAUUCGAGAAGAAAAUCAUGAUGGCUAUAUUUCAGAUAGUGAUGAGGAUCAUAAGUUUGAGGAUGAUGAUUUGGAAGAUGACCAAGAUGCAGAAUUUGGAGAGGAUCAUGAAGAGCCUACUGGUGCCUACAGUUCUGAUGAAGAUGACAAAACUGACUAUUCAGAUUUAACUGUCUCUGGUAGCUCAUCAUGGCUGGACAAGAUUCAACAGACCGUGAAUAAUGUUCUUCAAGCUUUCAACUUUUUUAGACGUCCAGUGAACAUUUCAGAAGCUGCUACUGUCCGAAAGGAAUAUGAUGACUUUAGCUCAGAGUUGUCCAAAAUUCAGUCAAGAAUAUCCCGUCUGAACGAAAAGCUGAAAUAUGAUUUUGGCAAGGAUAGAGAAUUUUAUUCAUUCUAUGAUCGUUGCUUUGAGAGCAAGCAGAACAAGUACACCUAUAAGGUCUGUCCAUUCAAGAAAGCCUCCCAGGUUGAAGGGCACAGUAGCACCCAAUUGGGGCACUGGGAUAAAUUUGACGAGUCAUACAGAGUCAUGUUAUUUUCCAAUGGAGAUAGGUGUUGGAAUGGCCCCGAUAGAAGUCUAAAGGUGAGACUUAGGUGUGGAUUGAAAAAUGAGCUUGUGGACAUUGAUGAACCAAGCCGAUGCGAGUAUGCAUAUCUUCAAUCUCACUAGCCUUUCUUGUCAUAAGAAUCUUUUUUCUCAUGUUUAAUGUUGCCUAUAUCAGGGAAAUCCUGGUAACCGUGAUAGGAACUGCAACAGAAACUUGAAGAUAUGAACACAGGUCAACCAUCGGCUCAUGAUGAGCUAUGAAGUUCUGCACAAUUUGCAGAGAAUGAAACAUGCAAAAGAGUUUCUAGUCACGCUCAUUUCAGCUCAGGAGGUUCAUGAGAAGCCUUCUCUGUUGAAACUAGAGAAAUUUGAGACAACCCCAUGCAGGCCAGACGAUGAUUGGAUGUCAUGAAGCGACCUCCGAUAUUUAAAAAUUUUCGAGCUCACUUCAUGCAGCUGUUGUAAUUCUUUUGUUUCCCUUCAUCAUAAGUGCUGAUUGAGAAUAGAUAAGAGUAACAAAUCAACUCGUUUUUUAAUUUAUUUAGAUGGUCCUGAUGCACAUGUAGUGCUCAUCAAUCUGAGUUCUUACCAGCGAUUACGGCAUAGUAUUUGGUCUGUCUUGAUAAUAUGAACUCAUGUUGGUAGACUA